GUAAUUAACUAUUUUCUUUCUUUUUUCUUUUUUAGGAAUAGGGUCUCAUAGGACAAUGUCUCAGUACAACCUCAAACUUCUUGGCUCAAGCGACCCUCUCGCCUCAGCCCCCCUAGUAGCUGGGACUACGGGCACACCACCAUGUCUAGCUGGGACUACAGGCACACCACCAUGCCUGGCUAAUUAAUUUUUUUUUUUUUUUUUUUAGAGAUAGGGUCUUGCUCUGUUGCCCAGGCUGAUCUCGAACUCCUGGGCUCAAGCAAUCCUCCUGCCUCAGCCUUCCAAAAUGUUGGGAUUAUAGGCGUGAGUCACUGCACCUGGCCUUGUAAUGAUCUAAUUUCUUGUAUGGUUUAUUUAUCAGGGUCUGCCUUCCUAACAGGCUGUAGGUUCCUCAAGGGUUGGGACUGUGCCUGUGUUCUGGGCACCUGCCCAUGCCUGGCAAUUUGAAGAAGCUCAAUUGCUACAUGUUGAAGGAAUGAAUAAUUGCAUGAGCAACCAUCGAUAAUUGCAUGCUACAACCAUCAAACUUGCAGGGUUCUUCCAUGGAAUAAGUGAGGUAAUUAUGUGUAAAAAUGAAUGAAUGUUGUACUUGUUAUAAAAUAAGAUCAUGGGCUGGAGAAAUAGUCCAGCGAAUGAGUGAACGAAUCAAUGGCCUCAGCUGCCCGAGUGGGCGGAGCUUACGUUCUUUCCACAAGGGAAGUUCCCUAGGAGUUUCCGUCAGUAGCUCCCGAGCACGCCGGAGGCCUGGCCUGUGGAUGAGAUUGUUCCUUAUUUCCCCAGCUUCAGCACCACAGAAGAGACCAGAGUCUACCUUGCCAGCUCCUCUAGCACCGACCACGUGCCAAUUCAUGUCCUGAAUGCUCACUUCACUUCUUCACCUUGCUUCACUUCACUUACUGCACGGGAACAGAAAAGCCUAGAGAGGAUGGAUUACCUGUGCGGUUGCCUCCCUCUGCAGAGUGGGCGUGUCUCAGGAGCUUCUCUUCUUCUCCAGCCCAGUGCGGCCUCGUGUCAUCCAUAGGACCCACCGGCAGAGGGCAGGGCCUGCGAGUGGGGCCAGCCUCCUGGUGACUCUCGCCUCCUCUUUUCCAGCGGACGCUACCAGAGGACGAAGGUCUGACUCUGGCCAACGGCCCAGAAUUUCUGGCCCAGUUUUGCCUGAGGAAGCCAACUGUGCAGGAGGUCAGGAUCCCGGUAGGGUGAGAGUGGGAAAGUUAACAUUCCCAAGAGACUCCAAGCAACAGGAUUUCCUGACCUGGGACUAUUACCUUUCUCACAUUACAUGGCCAGAUUUACUUCCUGCUAUUAUUAAAAGUACGAAAAAGAUGAAGAUAUGUGUUUAAUGGAAACAAGGGCAAGAGUUUGCCUGACUGGACUUUGAGGAGGCUGUAGGAUCAUGGCGCUAACGGCAUUUGGAGGGCUGGGAAGGGACUCUAGCCCUGGCUUUACCUGCCUUUGUCAUCAGCUGGAGCAAGCAACUCCGCAACCUCGGAGCCUCAGUUUCCUUUUCUGUAAAAGGCGGGGAGGGUGGGUGGUAAGUGCAAUGCUGAAUCAGAACUCAUAGAGCUGCUGGGUGGACAUGUGAAGUAAAAGAGGAGACAGCUUUUGCUCCUGAAGGAUGCCAUUUGCGUUUUCCUCAUCAGUUUGAUCUCCUCCAAUCAUCCAGCACCUCCAUCUGACCUUCUCAGCUGAGAGGUCCUCAGUGUUUCUGUGGCCUCCAGGAGAAAGGUCCCCCUCCCCGGCUGAGGCCAGGCUGAUGGCAGGCUGCACGGCCAGCCUUCCACAGUCACCUGAAGGAUACAGAAAAGGAAGAGCUGGAGGCUUCUAGCAAGCUGCCGAACUGUGUCCUCCAGCUGCGCCCAGCCCCCUGGAGGUAGCGCCGGAGCACGUGGUGGUGGCUAUGUAGGAAGGCCCCUUUCGAGCCGCCCUAUACUGUCUUUGGGAUCUGCUUUUUACUGCCACAGCCUAUGUGCUCCUGAUUCUUCUCUCAAUCCCUGGAUGGAAACCGGCCUCUGAUACUUGGCUCUGCUUCCUUGGAGGAGCUACUUAACCAUUCAGUCCUCUCUGCAGUUAGCUAUUAAGGUUGUCCUGCGAACUGAAGCAGAGAGUCCCCGCAAAGGGUGCAGAGUAGGGCACCCACAGAGGAGCCUCUAAAGCACUUUCCAUGAGGUGGAUGGCUUCUCCUCCCCAAGGGACCCAGGAAGGAAAGGAGAGCUGCUUCUGCCUCCCCAGCAGAGAGGGACCUUCCCAGAGAAGAUGUCUUGCGCCUCACCUGAUCUUGUUCUGAGAGUAGGAGACUGGAAGAGAAGCGUUCAACUCCCCAAACACAGCUGGGUUUGUUUCGUUUAAUCUCCCAGCCUGUUUUUCUGCUGUCCUCCUGAAGAAUGUUUAAUCUCACAGUUAAAACCACCAAAAGCGACUUUUUUCCCCCUCAACUGCUCAGUAACACAUGACCGUGCAAAUUCGUUUGGCCCCAGCGCCACAAGUCAUAAAAGGCAUCUAGUGGGCGGCAUGAGUCAAUCAGGCCUUUGGACGGUGACGUAACCACAGCUUGUCAGUUUCCCCAUCCAGGCAGCCCCAAUCCCCCAGUGCAGACAUCUGGAGCCAGGGAUUGACAAGUGGAUUCCAGGAUUGGGCCCUGCCUCCCGCCCUGUUCAGUUCCAGCCCAGCCACGGCCGCCGCCAACGAGGACACGCACUGUCUUUCUGCACAUUCCCACGUACACACACCCCCGCAGCCCCCUCUCCACUCAUUCCUGCAUUUCCGGCAAUGUGAAUUCUGACAGCUCGGGCAGUGUCAGCCUCUCCGGUGCAUUCCUCACCACACCACCUCACUGCUCCCGAGCCUGCUGACAGCACUCCCCGCCAUACCUACCAAGCCGAAGGUGCAAGGAACCUCUUGAUCCCCACUGUGUCUUUGUCCCAGGGCCACAGCAAAAUAGCACCCCCCUCCCCCACACACCCUCUAGCCUAAUUUAUUAGACUUUUAAACACAUUUAUUUACUGUGAUAUCUACACCACACCAAACAUCUGGAGGGAAACCGGGAGACAAUCCACCAGGAAUUUAAAUGUUUGUUCUGCAAUGUAACUUUGAAAACCGAACCAGGAAAACUUGACAUCUUUAGCCAAUUGCUUGGUGGUGAGUAGACUUAAGCCAAUAUAUAAUCUGUAAAGGUUGUCCCUCUUUGCCCUCUCUCUAUCCAUGAAACGCAUUCACCAAACAGCCCAGAAAUAUUUCUUUCUUCUCCUCUCAGAGGUAUGUGAAACCAACCUGAAUCAACAACAUAGUUGUUCAACCAGCCUCACUGAGAACGAAGGCAUUUCAGAGCUGGAAAGACGCUAGGGUCUGGGGUCUUAUCUUCCACAUUUAUCUGCCUUAUUAUAAUCCAUCCAGUCAUCCUCUUUGCCCUUGCCAGAUCUCAUCGCUUACCAAAGUGCUGGGAUGACAGGUGUGAGCCACCGCACCCGGCCACGUCUGUGACUUUUCUAAAGCUUUAAGAUGAUGUCACCCAUAGGCAGAAAGGCCCACUCAUUUCGUGCAUCUGCAGUCACUCUUCUGACGAGGUGCGGCUCUCUUUUGUUCUAUCAAAGAGAAAGCCAGUCUAAAUUAAUGGGAAACUAGAGAAUUAGGUCAUUUUUCAAGAUGAAAUUGCUGGUAGCUUAAGGAAUCAGCUACUUGAAUCCCAUGCUAAAAAAGUGUAACUCCUGAGGAGUGAGCUCUUCUUUCUUCCUUCCAUAAUGUCAGGCACUAAGGGAGGUUCAGAAACACAGAGCAGCAUCUACUCCUUUCUCAACGAGCGUGGGGUCCAGUGCAGUUGGCCCUCAUUUAACAAAUAAUUACACCCAUGCGUGAAAGGUCCAGUGGGGAAACAGUGCGGGGAGCCUCAGGCAGAGCUGAUUCAGGCCUGGGGAGGCACGGGAGCCACAUGUUCAGGGUCCACAGGCCCAGCGGAGUGAUACGGAAGUUUCCAAGAUGGUAAGCCUCUCUCCUGGCCCAUGCUCACCAACGGGACCCCAUUCCUAACCAGGCUUUCCCUCUCUCUCUUUUAAGUGUUCCAGGAAUGUUCCUACCCCUGCGUCUUUGCUGAAGCCCCUCUUGCCUGGGAUGCCCUCUGUCCUCUCUUUCUGCCCACACACAUCCUGCCAGUCCUUCAGACAGGGCCAGCCUCACGGGCAUAGGACCUGAGCAGUUUCACAGGGCCCUAUGCACAGAAGGAUCCCAAGCUCGGUUGAUUGCUCCGAUCUUGCCAUCUUGAAACUCUUUGAUAAUUUUAUCUUUUAUCUUGUGUUUUGGGAGUGAAAUCCAAUGGGAUAUUGGGGCCUGCAAAGGAGAAGAGGAGAUCCGCACAAACCCGUUCCUGGCUGCUGCAUUCACCUCCAGCGUUUGUGAUGCCCCAGAGCACAGAACUCCAGGGAGCCCACGAUGCAGGAGAGUUCAGCGACAUUCACUGAGUACAAGAGAAGUGAGUUACUCCUGCAGCUGAGCACGGGGGGCGCUGGCAACUGCGAAAGGUCUCGCUUUCCAUUCCAACCAGAACUUGCUCCUAGCGCAGACAGAAGGCCGUGGCAUUCUGAGAAACACACAUGAUGAAGGAGCCCUGUCAUAUCCUCUCUUCCUUGCAUCGCUUCCCCGUGUGAGCAACCACUUGUGCUGGAAAUGAUGACAAGGAAGGACCGGGAAAGACAGGGCCACCCGCAGUUCCUUUUCCUUGACGUCUUUCCUUCCUCAUCAGCGAGCUGAGGUGGAGAGCGUUGGUAGAAUGUGUGCAUAAUAAGAAGUGAAAUAAAAACAGUCGAGUUAGUAUUCUACUGUUUCCACUGUUCUGGUGAGAACAAAACACAUAUGCUGUAUAUGCUUUGAAAUACAAAGUGUGUAAUUUUAGUGAUUCUGCAUAGGAGUUAAAUGUUUUUAUAUUUGCAUUUAAAGCCUCACAAAUAAUGUAGCCAGCCCUGCCUUCAAAGUGCAUUCAAGUGACUCCCCCUUCAUAAUCACUUAAGCCUGGAGCCACGGCCUUGCCCCUGAACACGUAGAACAGUCAUGGCCGUACCAACCGUGAGCCAUUCUUGCCUCUCUCUCUUUUGUCUUAUUCUCUUGUCAUCUGUCCACCUCGCAGGACUGUUGGGAGGCACCAAUGGACUUUGCAACUGGAGAUCUCCCAACUGGACCAUGUCACUGUUAUGUUUAAUUUGCACUGUGCACAGUAGGUACCCAGUCAACGUUUGUCGAAUUCCAUGGACUGGGCCUUAUACCUCCGAGGAUUUUUCACAGCAGUAGCAUGUGCACAUGCACAGAACGAGAACACAACCAAUGCUUGUUUGCUGGUGAAGACCUGGUCUCAGUAUUUUGCCCAGGAAACCCUUUCUUCAUGGACAGCAUGAGGCAAGCUAUGGCCCUUGCUGUGGUCUCAGUGGUUCAGCACGGAAGAUGAAGAUGACGGGCAGUCUCAGAAUAUUAGCUUUAGAAGGGACUUUGGAUCCUUUUGAUUUUGGUAGGUGAAAUACUUUUUAAAAAUAAAGAAAACGGACUUUGGACAAAUGCUCUCAUUUUGUAAAUGAAAAAGUAGAGACAGGAAGAGUAACUGAUUUGUCCAAAAUCAAACAAAGUAAAUUGUGUUGCAUCCUCUCCAUCCGUAACCACCUUCGCCUUCCCUAACUGCUCCAUGUGGCCUGGGAAAGUCCACUUCACCUCGUCUUAGAGGUGGGCUUCUGAUUCUAGCUAAGCCAACCCCCA
rnacentral:lncRNA from 10 species